GUUGUAUGGUUAAGUGACUAAGCGUACACGGUGGAUGCCUGGGCAGUCAGAGGCGAUGAAGGACGUACUAACUUGCGAUAAGCGCAGAUAAGGCAGUAAGAGCCGUUUGAGUCUGCGAUUUCCGAAUGGGGAAACCCAACUGCAUAAGCAGUUACUGUUAACUGAAUACAUAGGUUAACAGAGCAAACCGGGGGAACUGAAACAUCUAAGUACCCCGAGGAGAAGAAAUCAACCGAGAUUCCGGUAGUAGCGGCGAGCGAACCUGGAUUAGCCCUUAAGCACUCGGUGAAGUAGGUGAACAAGCUGGAAAGCUUGGCGAUACAGGGUGAUAGCCCCGUAACCGACGCUUCAUCGAGCGUGAAAUCGAGUAGGGCGGGACACGUGAUAUCCUGUCUGAAUAUGGGGGGACCAUCCUCCAAGGCUAAAUACUCCUGACUGACCGAUAGUGAACCAGUACCGUGAGGGAAAGGCGAAAAGAACCCCUGUGAGGGGAGUGAAAUAGAACCUGAAACCGUGUACGUACAAGCAGUAGGAGCACCUUCGUGGUGUGACUGCGUACCUUUUGUAUAAUGGGUCAGCGACUUAUAUUCAGUGGCAAGGUUAACCGUAUAGGGGAGCCGUAGCGAAAGCGAGUCUUAACUGGGCGCUCAGUCUCUGGAUAUAGACCCGAAACCGGGUGAUCUAGCCAUGGGCAGGUUGAAGGUUGAGUAACAUCAACUGGAGGACCGAACCGACUAAUGUUGAAAAAUUAGCGGAUGACUUGUGGCUAGGGGUGAAAGGCCAAUCAAACUCGGAGAUAGCUGGUUCUCCCCGAAAGCUAUUUAGGUAGCGCCUCGGACGAAUACUACUGGGGGUAGAGCACUGUUAAGGCUAGGGGGUCAUCCCGACUUACCAACCCUUUGCAAACUCCGAAUACCAGUAAGUACUAUCCGGGAGACACACGGCGGGUGCUAACGUCCGUCGUGGAGAGGGAAACAACCCAGACCGCCAGCUAAGGUCCCAAAGUAUUGCUAAGUGGGAAACGAUGUGGGAAGGCUCAGACAGCUAGGAUGUUGGCUUAGAAGCAGCCAUCAUUUAAAGAAAGCGUAAUAGCUCACUAGUCGAGUCGGCCUGCGCGGAAGAUGUAACGGGGCUAAGCAAUACACCGAAGCUGCGGCAAUGUCUUUUAGACAUUGGGUAGGGGAGCGUUCUGUAAGCCGUUGAAGGUGAAUCGUAAGGUUUGCUGGAGGUAUCAGAAGUGCGAAUGCUGACAUGAGUAACGACAAAGGGGGUGAAAAACCUCCUCGCCGGAAGACCAAGGGUUCCUGUCCAACGUUAAUCGGGGCAGGGUGAGUCGACCCCUAAGG
rnacentral:rRNA from 1 species